rnacentral:rRNA from 1 species
CAGCUCUCCGAGUGGUAGGGAUGAUUAUUGGGCUUAAAGCGUCCGUAGCCUGCUUAGCAAGUCUCCUGUUAAAUUCAGCGACCUAAUCGUUGAGCCGCGGGAGAUACUACUAGGCUAGGAGGCGGGAGAGGUCGACGGUACUUCUGGGGUAGGGGUGAAAUCCUAUAAUCCCGGGAGGACCACCAGUGGCGAAGGCUGUUGACUAGAACGCGCUCGACGGUGAGGGACGAAAGCUGGGGGAGCAAACCGGAUUAGAUACCCGAGUAGUCC